UUGAUUAUGAUUUAUUUAGGAUUUUUUUAAGAUUUAAAAUUUUUCUAGGAUUUUAUUAGGAUUGAUCUAAGAUUUAAAGUUUAAAUAGGAUUUGGAGUUUGUUUAGGAUUUGGUUAGGAUUUAGGAUUUGACUAGGAUUUUAUUUGGAUUUGAUUAGGAUUUGAUUAGGAUUUGGAUAAGAUUUCAUUAAAAUUUGGUUUAAAAUUGAUUUAAAAUUUUAUUAGAAUUUAUUGAGAGUUAUAUUAAGAUUUUAUUAAAAUUCAAUUAAAAAAAAUAAUAAUAUUUUUUUAAGAU
rnacentral:lncRNA from 1 species